AAAUGAGAUAAGUCUAAAAUAUAAGAUAUACAAAUUCCACAGAAAAAAUGGCAUUUAACAACUAUCGAUCCUAUCUUCUCUUUGUUUCAUGCAUUGCUUUGGUCUUGUUUUCAAGAUUGGUUACUAGUUUGGGGACUCCAGCAAUAGUUUUAGAUGAAUCAUGCGCCCCGGGGUCGCCAGAUGCACAGUGUUGUUCUGGGCUUUGUUCUCCUACCUGCGAUCAAGACUGUAAGGGCAAGGGAUUUUCAUUUGGUGGAUUUUGUGAUACUCUAGGUGUUGAUUACCUAUGUUGUUGUUUUAAGCAAUGACUUCUGUUCCUCAAAUAUAUACUCUAGGUGUUGAUUACCUAUGUUGUUGUUUUAAGAAAUGACUUAUGUACGUCAAAAAUAUGAAUAUAAGGUUGUUCAUCAAACUCUUAGUUUUAUAAAAUAUAAAUUUUAAUGAAUAUAA